UACGUAGGGGGCAAGCGUUGGUCCGGAAUCAUUGGGCGUAAAGAGCACGUAGGCGGCCCGGUAAGUCCGCUCUGAAAGUCAGAGGCUCAACCUCUGGAGGCGAGUGGAUACUGCCGGGCUAGAGUCCGGAAGAGGCGAGUGGAAUUCCUGGUGUAGCGGUGGAAUGCGCAGAUAUCAGGAGGAACACCAAUGGCGAAGGCAGCUCGCUGGGACGGUACUGACGCUGAGGUGCGAAAGCGUGGGGAGCGAACAGG
rnacentral:rRNA from 1 species